rnacentral:rRNA from 1 species
UACAGGGGGGGCAAGCGUUGUUCGGAAUUACUGGGCGUAAAGGGCUCGUAGGCGGCCAACUAAGUCACACGUGAAAUCCCCAGGCUUAACCUGGGAACUGCGUCUGAUACUGGAUGGCUUGAGGUUGGGAGAGGGAUGCGGAAUUCCAGGUGUAGCGGUGAAAUGCGUAGAUAUCUGGAGGAACACCGGUGGCGAAGGCGGCAUCCUGGACCAAUUCUGACGCUGAGGAGCGAAAGCCAGGGGAGCAAACGGG